rnacentral:rRNA from 1 species
GACGUAGGGCGCGAGCGUUGUCCGGAUUUAUUGGGCGUAAAGAGCUCGUAGGCGGCUUGUUGCGUCGACUGUGAAAACCUGCGGCUCAACCGUGUGGUCUGCAGUCGAUACGGGCAGGCUGGAGUUCGGUAGGGGAGACUGGAAUUCCUGGUGUAGCGGUGAAAUGCGCAGAUAUCAGGAAGAACACCCGUGGCGAAGGCGGCUCUCUGGGACGGUACUGACGCUGAGACGCGAAAGCGUGGGGAGCGAACAGG